rnacentral:rRNA from 1 species
GAUGAACGCUGGCGGCGUGCCUAAUACAUGCAAGUCGAGCGAACGGACGAGAAGCUUGCUUCUCUGAUGUUAGCGGCGGACGGGUGAGUAACACGUGGAUAACCUACCUAUAAGACUGGGAUAACUUCGGGAAACCGGAGCUAAUACCGGAUGAUAUUUUGAACCGCAUGGUUCAAAAGUGAAAGACGGUCUUGCUGUCACUUAUAGAUGGAUCCGCGCUGCAUUAGCUAGUUGGUAAGGUAACGGCUUACCAAGGCAACGAUGCAUAGCCGACCUGAGAGGGGUAUUCGGCACCCUGGGACUUGGACACGGUCCAAGCCCCCAAGGGGAGGCACAAUAGGGAAACUUUCCGAAAGGGCGAAAGCCUGACGGAGCAACGCCGCGUGAGUGAUGAAGGUCUUCGGAUCGUAAAACUCUGUUAUUAGGGAAGAACAUAUGUGUAAGUAACUGUGCACAUCUUGACGGUACCUAAUCAGAAAGCCACGGCUAACUACGUG